rnacentral:rRNA from 1 species
UGACCGUGCGAAGGUAGCAUAAUCAUUAGUCUUUUAAUUGGAGGCUUGUAUGAAUGGUUGGACGAGAAGUAAUCUGUCUCUAUUAAAAAAAUUGAAUUUAACUUUUGAGUGAGAAGGCUUAAAUAAUCUAGAGGGACGAUAAGACCCUAUAAAGUUUAACAUUAUAAUAAUUAAAAGUUGAUUGGGUUAGAGAACUUAUUAUUGUAAAUAAUGUUUUGUUGGGGCGANAAGAAUAUAAAUAAUUUAACUGUUCUUUUUUGUAUCAAAGAUAUUUGACUUAAUGAUCUUUUUAAGGGUAUUAGAGUAAAUUACUUUAGGGAUAACAGCGUAAUUUUUUUUGAGAGUUCCUAUCGACAAAAGAGUUUGCGACCUCGAUGUUGAAUUAAAGAUUCUUUAUAAUGCAGAAGUUAUAUAAGAAGGUCUGUUCGACCUUUAAACCUUUACAUGAUUUGAGUUCAGACCGGUGUGAGCCAGGUUGGUUUCUAUCUA